rnacentral:rRNA from 1 species
GACGAACGCUGGCGGCGUGCCUAACACAUGCAAGUCGAACGGAAAGGCCCUGCUUUUGUGGGGUGCUCGAGUGGCGAACGGGUGAGUAACACGUGAGUAACCUGCCCUUGACUUUGGGAUAACUUCAGGAAACUGGGGCUAAUACCGGAUAGGAGCUCCUGCUGCAUGGUGGGGGUUGGAAAGUUUCGGCGGUUGGGGAUGGACUCGCGGCUUAUCAGCUUGUUGGUGGGGUAGUGGCUUACCAAGGCUUUGACGGGUAGCCGGCCUGAGAGGGUGACCGGCCACAUUGGGACGGAGAUACGGCCCAGACUCCUACGGGAGGCAGCAGUGGGGAAUAUUGCACAAUGGGCGGAAGCCUGAUGCAGCAACGCCGCGUGCGGGAUGACGGCCUUCGGGUUGUAAACCGCUUUCGCCUGUGACGAAGCGUGAGUGACGGUAAUGGGUAAAGAAGCACCGGCUAACUACGUG